rnacentral:rRNA from 1 species
ACUGCUCAGUAACACGUAGUUAACCUACUCUAAGGUCAAGCAUACCCUCGGGAAACUGAGGCUAAUACUUGAUAGAAGAUAUACCCUGGAAAGAUUUAUCUUUGAAACUCGAGCCUUAGAAUGGGACUGCGGCUGAUUAGGUUGUUGGCGGGGUAAUAGCCCACCAAGCCGAUGAUCAGUAAGGGCUCUUAGCGGAGAGGCCCUGAGAGGGAAUCUGAGAUACUAUUCCCAGCCCUACGGGGUGCAGCAGUUAGGAAUAUUCUACAAUGCGCGCAAGCGUGAUAGAUUGAACCAAAGUGUUUUUCAAUUUGAAAAGCUUUUAUGGAAUGUAAAAAGUUCCACGAAUAAGGACUGGGUAAGACUAGUGCCAGCCGCCGCGGUAAUACUAGCGGUCCAAGUCGCAGCCAUUUUUAUUGGGUCUAAAACAUCCGUAGCUUGCUUGAUAAGUUUCUUGUGAAAUUUUAUGUCUUAAACAUAGAGCGUGCAAGAAGUACUAUCAAGCUAGAGACUGGAAGACGUGAGGAGUAUGUUCGAAGUAGCGGUAAAAUGUUUUAAUCUCGGACAGACUAACAAUAGCGAAGGCACCUCACGAGGACAGUUCUGACAGUAAGGGAUGAAGGCUAGGGGCGCAAAACGGAUUAGAUACCCGUGUAGUCCCAGCUGUAAACUAUGCAAACUCAGUGAUGCAUUGGCUUGUGGCCAAUGCAGUGCUGCAGGGAAGCCGUUAAGUUUGCCGCCUGGGAAGUACGUACGCAAGUAUGAAACUUAAAGGAAUUGGCGGGGGAGCAC